GUUGUAUAGUCAAGUAAUUAAGUGCAUGUGGUGGAUGCCUUGGCAGUCAGAGGCGAUGAAAGACGUGAUAGCCUGCGAAAAGCUCCGGGGAGGCGGCAAAUAUCCUUUGAUCCGGAGAUGUCUGAAUGGGGGAACCCACCUACUUUAAGGUAGGUAUUGCAACAUGAAUACAUAGUGUUGCAAGGCGAACGAGGGGAAGUGAAACAUCUCAGUACCCUUAGGAAAAGAAAUCAAUUGAGAUUCCCUCAGUAGCGGCGAGCGAACGGGGAUCAGCCCAUUAAGUUAUGUGUGUUUUAGUGGAACGCUCUGGGAAGUGCGAACGUAGAGGGUGAUAUUCCCGUACACGAAAGGGCACACAUAAUGAUGACGAGUAGGGCGAGGCACGUGAAACCUUGUCUGAAUAUGGGGGGACCAUCCUCCAAGGCUAAAUACUCCUGACUGACCGAUAGUGAACCAGUACCGUGAGGGAAAGGCGAAAAGAACCCCUGUGAGGGGAGUGAAAUAGAUCCUGAAACCGCAUGCAUACAAGCAGUGGGAGCACCUUCGUGGUGUGACUGCGUACCUUUUGUAUAAUGGGUCAGCGACUUAUAUUCAGUAGCAAGGUUAACCGUAUAGGGGAGCCGUAGAGAAAUCGAGUCUUAAUAGGGCGUUUAGUUGCUGGGUAUAGACCCGAAACCAGGCGAUCUAUCCAUGAGCAGGUUGAAGGUUGGGUAACACUAACUGGAGGACCGAACCCACUGUCGUUGAAAAGCCAGGGGAUGACUUGUGGAUAGGGGUGAAAGGCUAAUCAAGCCUGGUGAUAGCUGGUUCUCCCCGAAAGCUAUUUAGGUAGCGCCUCGGACGAAUACCAUAGGGGGUAGAGCACUGUUUCGGCUAGGGGGUCAUCCCGACUUACCAAACCGAUGCAAACUCCGAAUACCUAUGAGUACUAUCCGGGAGACAGACUGCGGGUGCUAACGUCCGUAGUCAAGAGGAAAACAAUCCAGACCGCCAGCUAAGGCCCCAAAAUCAUAGUUAAGUGGGAAACGAUGUGGGAAGGCAUAGACAGCUAGGAGGUUGGCUUAGAAGCAGCCACCCUUUAAAGAAAGCGUAAUAGCUCACUAGUCGAGUCGGCCUGCGCGGAAGAUGUAACGGGGCUAAAACUAUGUGCCGAAGCUGCGGAUGUAUACUUUGUAUACGUGGUAGGGGAGCGUUCUGUAAGCCGAUGAAGGUGUGUUGAGAAGCAUGCUGGAGGUAUCAGAAGUGCGAAUGCUGACGUGAGUAACGACAAAACGGGUGAAAAACCCGUUCGCCGAAAGACCAAGGGUUCCAGUCCAACGUUAAUCGGGGCUGGGUGAGUCGACCCCUAAGGCGAGGCCGAAAGGCGUAGUC
rnacentral:rRNA from 1 species